rfam:Moniliophthora roreri strain MCA 2952 kmer90.96292, whole genome shotgun sequence.
GGCCGCCUGGCGAAAUGGCAUCGCGUCUGACUACGAUGAGCACUUAUGUAUCGUAUCAGGAGAUUGCAGGUUCGACCCCUGCGGUGGUCA